UUGGCCCUCCCAGCCCCUGUAGGGCUCCUCCUCCACCCAUAGGCCACCCGAGCAUCCUCCCACAUGCCCUCCCCCUCUCUCUCCCACACCUCCCGUCACCCCUGGUUGGGCAGCCGCUCCAUUGAACGGGCAUGGCUGCCACCCGGGGCAACACCUCUGGCACCGCCCCUCACCACCAAUGCCGAGCACUAUCACCAUGUCAUCCUUGUCGUCUCGCCCGUUCUUAUCCUCGCCCCACCCCGCCUAUAAAACACGAGCACCAACCCCUCCAGAACGAACUCCCACUCCCAAUCCUCCAUUACCAGUGAACCGAGCUCCUAAGCUCUUCGCGUCGCUAGCUCGAUUCCUCCCAACUCCAGCCCUCUCCAUUCGAUUCCUCUUGCCCAAAGAUGUGCCACUCCCUCAGCUCCACCCUCAGCCCCUCCUCGUCGCUCGCCGUCCACCCUAUCGGCCGGAAUCGGAGUUUCCCCCAACUUCUUGAACUUCACCCGCUGCCGCCCAUGCCUCGCCGUGGCGCCCCAUGCCCCGGCCCUCCUCGUCGUCAACUAAUGGCUCAAAUGGAACCGCGAAGUUAAUAUCGCCGACGGAACCUACGAGCUCCACCCCACGCCGAAAGAGGAACAUACCGCAGAGCUACAUCACGUGGGAGCUGAGCCCGAGCCAGAUCAAGACCCCGAAGACCUACUAACUUUCUCUGAACCUGAAGAUAAGCCCCAGUGCAUGAAUACCUAUAUUCAAACUUAUUCAAUGUGUUGAUGCUUAUGAUUGUGCAUAUACGUUUCUAGGAGUGGCUUGAAACCAUAGGUGCAUGAAACUUAGUACCUUUAAUCUGAACACUAGUAUGUUAAGACGAGAGAUGCAAUGCUUAAAUAGGACUCGGUAAAAGACGAGUGAUUGUCUGUCACUCACGAGCUAUAGGAGUUGAUUGCUUUACUUAUAUUAUAACCAUAAGGACGAUGGACGGGGCUGGGCUUAUUGUUCGGUACUUGUUGGUUUGCCCGUGUAUCUACUUAAAAUGGACUAAGGUUGAAAAGUGAGGGUGUUCGUGAUCAAGUGGUUAAAAGUACUAAUUUCAUACAUAGUAUGGGAUGGGGAAGCCUAGUACCUGAUUGAACCAGGACGUGAGAGUUUCGUUCCACUAUCUUUGGAAACUGAGUUUUCCCCUGGUGCAUCAUGUGGUGACAGGUGCAGUCACACUAUGAUAGAGGCCGAGACUGUGGGGCCUUGUACCAAGGGAAGUGGACCCAACACGUAGCUGGGAAUCGAUGGGGACGGCUAACAAGUGAAGUGACUUGUUGUGCUGCGCGGAUGUCGUGGGAUUAGGUUCGCCAUGCAUGGUUAAUAAACUCGAUUCGAAUCGCCUGCCUCUCACAGUUUGGGACUACUUGAUCGCUAUGCUGCACUGAGUAAAAAAUGGAACAUGAUGAUGAUAUUAAACUUGAUGCUUGUCAUUAAUUUUUUUGAAAACUAUGUUUGCUUAGUAUAAGUUGCUAAUUUAGGCUGGUUAAUGAACUUAGAACCUGAGCUAAAAUAUUGAAAGUAAGGAUCAACACUAGUCACUUUUGGCAAAAACAAACCCACAGCCAAAGAACUUACAUGUCUAGAGGUUAGUGGUUUAGCAACCACUAUUAGGUCAGUCUUGCUGAGUAUUAGUUGCUCAGCCUUGCUUGUGGCAUAACCUUUCAGGCAAUGUCAAUAGUUUGGCUGCUAGCGUCACUUGGCCUACCCAGCUCCCUCCAGGUUGGACGGUCAAGUGGGAUCCUUCCUCGGACGGCGAGGACAGGGGUCACUGAUGUCAUGAUCGGCUUCGUCAUGAUAUCAUGUACCGACGUUUAGCUUCCGCAUGUUUUACUUUUUGUUGUUUUUAAUCUUGCAAACUAUGUCUGAAUUUCGCAAAACUCUAAUGUAAUAAUUGUUGAACUAUGUUAAUGAGAUGGGAAUGUUGUAAUCUCUGUAACCAGUCA